GCACAUUUAACAAAGCGAUGAGGCUGCUUCUCUCUUCUUCAUUGCCUCUCCUCUUGCUGGCCCUUGCUUCUUUGGGCCUCACCCAGGAGGCUGCGAUUAAAUAUAGCAGAGAUGACUUCCCCUCUGACUUUGUUUUUGGAGCAGGGACCUCAGCUUAUCAGUAUGAGGGAGCAGUAGCAGAGGAUGGCAGGAGUCCAAGUACCUGGGAUACUUUCACGCAUGCAGGGAACAUGCCAAACAAAAGCACAGGUGAUGUGGCUUCUGAUGGCUACCACAAAUAUAAGGAAGACGUCAAGCUCAUGAGCGAGCUAGGACUUGAAGCCUAUAGAUUUUCCAUUUCCUGGUCAAGGCUUCUUCCAAAUGGGAGAGGAGCUGUCAAUCCAAAAGGCCUAGAGUAUUAUAACGGCCUUAUCAACGAGCUAAUUGAACGUGGAAUUCAGCCGCAUAUCACACUUCACCAUGUAGAACUUCCCCAGGUCCUUGAAGAUGAAUAUGGAGGCUGGCUGAGCCCUAAGAUUAUAGAGGAUAUGAAAGAAUAUGCAGACGUCUGCUUCAGAGAAUUCGGCGACAGGGUUUCUCACUGGACGACGAUAAACGAACCCAAUAUACUGACCCUACUUUCUUAUGAAUUUGGAUUGACUCCACCACGGCGAUGUUCUUUUCCUUUUCGGCCAUUUAAUUGCUCAGCCGGGAACUCUUCAGUGGAGCCUUACAUCGCCAUGCACAAUGUGCUACUAGCACACGCAGCAGUUGUCAGACUAUACAGAACCAAAUAUCAAGCUUUUCAAAAGGGGUGGAUAGGCCUAAAUGUAUAUACCUUUUGGCCCAUUCCAAUUUCAAAUUCCUCUGCCAAUGUUGAGGCAGCCAAAAGAGCAACGGAUUUUAUAAUGGGCUGGGUUAUUAACCCCUUAGUAUUUGGAGAUUACCCCGAGAUUAUGAGGGAGAAGGCAGGUCAGCGGCUCCCAUCUUUCACCAAAGGUGGAUCAGAAGAGGUGAAGGGUUCGUUUGAUUUUAUUGGACUGAACUACUAUACAUCAGCAUAUGUGAAGGACAGCUCAAAUAGUCCAUCUGGACUUCACGAUUUCACUGCAGAUAUGUCUCUCGUAAUCAUAGUUUCUAAGAACGGUACGAUUGGCCAGAUUUUACCAACUGGAAUAAACAUUUAUCCACCUGGACUUCGAAAUUUACUGAGAUAUUUGAAGCAAGAGUAUGGAAAUCCACCUAUUUACAUUUACGAGAAUGGGUAUGAGGGUGUCAAGCACAUCCUCAAUGACACGGAUCGGAUUGACUACUUGGACAGAUAUAUAAGAAGCACGCUAGAUGCUAUUAGGGAUGGAUCAAAUGUGAGAGGAUACUUUGUAUGGUCAUUCUUAGAUGUUUUCGAACUUGCAACGGGAUAUGAAUCAAGCUACGGGUUAUACUACGUGGAUUUUAGCAAUGUUGAGCGCAAGAGGCAACCAAAGCUCUCUGCACGUUGGUACUCCAACUUCCUCGCGAAUAAGAAUGGUAUCCGCCUAAAACAGAGGAGUGGGAUACAGAGAGUGUAUAAUCAGUAGUGAUGUGCAUGGUAGGCGAAUGACAAGUCAUCUGAUUAUGCUAAUAAGAGCAGAUGACCAUGUUUGCUACACUAAAUAUAAUUGAUACUUCUAUCUACCAAGACUGUCAAUUUGCUAGAGAUAUUUGGCAACCAAUUGUUGGGGAUUCGAA